GACGAACGCUGGCGGCGUGCCUAAUACAUGCAAGUAGAACGCUGAGGAGAGGAGCUUGCUCUUCUUGGGUGAGGUGAGAACGGGUGAGUAACGCGUAGGUAACCUGCCUUGUAGUGGGGGAUAACUAGUGGAAACGAGAGCUAAUACCGCAUAACAAUGGAUGACACAUGUGAUUUAUUUGAAAGGGGCAAUUGCUGCACUACAUGAUGGAUCUGCGUUGUAUUAGUUAGUAGGUGAGGUAAUGGCGCACCUAGGCGACGUUACAUAGCCGCACUGAGAGGGUGGUUGGCCACCCUGGGACGGUGACCGGGCCCAGAGUCCCUCAGGUAGCAGCAGUAGGGCAUCGUCGGCAAUGGGGGGAAACCUUACCGAACAACGCCGCGGCAGUGAAGAAGGUUGUCGGGUGCUAAAGCUCUGUUGUCAGUCAAUAACGGGUUUGAGAGUGUAACGAUCCCACUGUGACGGUAGCUUAUCAGAAAGCGACGGCUAACUACGUG
rnacentral:rRNA from 1 species